rnacentral:tRNA from 1 species
GCGCCCAUAGCUCAGUUGGAUAGAGCGUCGGACUACGAAUCCGAAGGCCGCAAGUUCGAAUCUUGCUGGGCGCACCA